rnacentral:rRNA from 1 species
GAUGAACGCUGGCGGCGUGCCUAAUACAUGCAAGUCGAGCGAACAGACGAGGAGCUUGCUCCUCUGACGUUAGCGGCGGACGGGUGAGUAACACGUGGAUAACCUACCUAUAAGACUGGGAUAACUUCGGGAAACCGGAGCUAAUACCGGAUAAUAUAUUGAACCGCAUGGUGCAAUAGUGAAAGACGGUUUUGCUGUCACUUAUAGAUGGAUCCGCGCCGCAUUAGCUAGUUGGUAAGGUAACGGCUUACCAAGGCGACGAUGCGUAGCCGACCUGAGAGGGUGAUCGGCCACACUGGAACUGAGACACGGUCCAGACUCCUACGGGAGGCAGCAGUAGGGAAUCUUCCGCAAUGGGCGAAAGCCUGACGGAGCAACGCCGCGUGAGUGAUGAAGGUCUUCGGAUCGUAAAACUCUGUUAUUAGGGAAGAACAAAUGUGUAAGUAACUAUGCACGUCUUGACGGUACCUAAUCAGAAAGCCACGGCUAACUACGUG